GAUGAAGAACGUAGUGAAAUGCGAUAAGUAGUGUGAAUUGCAGAAUUCAGUGAAUCAUCGAAUCUUUGAACGCACAUUGCGCCCCUUGGUAUUCCAUGGGGCAUGCCUGUUCGAGCGUCAUUUGUACCUUCAAGCUCUGCUUGGUGUUGGGUGUUUGUCUCGCCUCUGCGCGCAGACUCGCCUCAAAACAAUUGGCAGCCGGCGUAUUGAUUUCGGAGCGCAGUACAUCUCGCGCUUUGCACUCAUAACGACGACGUCCAUAAAGUACAUUUUUUACACUCUUGACCUCGGAUCAGGUAGGGAUACCCGCUGAACUUAAGCAUAUCAAUAAGCGGAGGA
rnacentral:misc_RNA from 1 species